GACGAACGCUGGCGGCGUGCUUAACACAUGCAAGUCGAACGGAAAGGCCCUGCUUUUGUGGGGUGCUCGAGUGGCGAACGGGUGAGUAACACGUGAGUAUCCUGCCCUUGACUUUGGGAUAACUUCUGGAAACUGGGGCUAAUACCGGAUAGGAGCUCCUGCUGCAUGGUGGGGGUUGGAAAGUUUCGGCGGUUGGGGAUGGACUCGCGGCUUAUCAGCUUGUUGGUGGGGUAGUGGCUUACCAAGGCUUUGAAGGGUAGCCGGCCUGAGAGGGUGACCGGCGACAAUAGGACUGAGAUACGGAGCAGAAUCCUACGGGAGGCAGCAGUGGGGAAUAUUGCACAAUGGGCGGAAGCCUGAUGCAGCAACGCCGGGUGCGGGAUGAUGGCCUACGGGUGGUGAACAGCUUUGGCCUGCAACGAAGCGUGAGUGACGGUAAUGGGUAAAGAAGCACCGGCUAACUACGUG
rnacentral:rRNA from 1 species